GACUGGAUAGCCUAGUGGUAAAGGCAUCACUCCUAGUAAAGUGACUUACACAGCUGUCACUGGGAUGUCGCACGCAGUCUGCUGCGACACCCGCGGCAAGGGCCCCCCCUUACUGCGGGUGUUGCAGCAGACUGUAUGCGACAUUGGAUCACCAGUUGUGUUAGCUAAUGCUGAGGUCCCAGGUUUGAAUCCUGGUCUAGUCA
rnacentral:tRNA from 1 species